CACACACACACACACACACACACACACACACACACACACAAGCUCUUUAAUCAUAUCUGAACGCGUUGAGCUUGUCAAUAGACCCGGAUGGGGAAAAUGUCAUCCUUCAGGCUAUUUACUAACCCCAUGGAAGACCAAUGGCCUGACAUAGGCUGUGUGGGCAAAUUAUCACGCUAAUCGCCCCUGCGCGUGCACACGUGCAUGUGUUUGAGUGCGUGAGUGUCGAACCACGCGCUCGCCCGUGUGGCUUUGAGGGAGGGGAGUGGGUGCCAGUGUGGUUUGACAAUGGGAGGAGAGUCACGUGACUUUGGUUUCAAUUCCUCUUUCUCUGCAGCGCAAUUUUUUAGAAUACCGUCCACUGUGUGUGCAAGUCUUGGUACGCGCGCGUCAGUUCCGCAAGAUCAGCUUAUUCAUUCAUGUGGAAGGGAUGACUACUACAAGGAUGGCUAUGUUAAAGCGUCACAUUCCAAUGAUGGCUAUUUUAUAAUUUUAACUUUGGUCGCCUUUUAUCUUUUUUGCCGCUGCUGCUGUUCGUUGUGGGCACAGGCGCGGUUUCUUUGAAAGAACAUACAAGCAGAGCAGAGGAUAAUGUGCACUGAAUUGUUCAGCAUUGUGUAUCGCGUUAGUGUUGUUUCUCCAUAGAUCUCUGACAACACACACACACACGCACACACGGUGUGCAGCGGUACCGCUACUAGAACGGGAUUGUUCGGGUUGCACUGACAGAGAAAGGUUCAGGAAAGGGAGCGUAACCAGGACCCUCGUCGAGUACUACGUCGAGUCCCCGAUUUGGGGUCUCUCCCUCCACCCGAGAAGAAAAUGUCAUCUACGAAAUUCAAGAAAGAUAAGGAGAUCAUCGCUGACUAUGAGACCCAAGUCAAAGGGUUCUGCUCUGCCACGGCGAUGACCGGCUGGCGUGGAACUGAGAUGACUGGGCGCGAGGAGGGUGGGGAAGGGUGUGUGUGUGUGUGUGUGUGUGUGUGUGUGUGUGUGGGGGGGGUGCUCUCGGUGAACAACGGCUAGUGUCGUGAGUUCAGCCCCAGUGAUGAUGGCAGAAUGGGACUCGGGAGGGAAGCUGCACCUGCCUCGUCGUGAGUUAUUGUGUUUUUGGGAGCGUGUGUGUUUGUGCAUGGAGAGGAGAGGGCUAACACAAAAAAAUG
ensembl:lncRNA